rnacentral:lncRNA from 1 species
GCCGGGCGUGAUGGCGGGCGCCUGUGGUCCCAGCUACUCGGGAGGCUGAGGCAGGAGAAUGGCAUGAACCCGGGAGGCAGAGCUUGCAGUGAGCCGAGAUCGCGCCACUGCACUCCAGCCUGGGUGACAGAGUGAGACUCCGUCUCAAAAAAAAAAAAAAAAAAAAAAAAAGAAAGAAAAUGGGUAUCCAAACAAAGACUUGGAAGUGAAUGUCCAUAGCAGCAUUAUUCACAGUAGCCACAAGGUAGAAACAACCCAAAUGUCCAUCAACUGAAUAGAGAAAUAUUCAGCCAUAAAAAGGAAUGUAGGGCUGGGCACAGUGGCUAUAACAGUGCUUGCCUGGCCUGCAGUAGGAGCUCUGUAAAUAUCUGUUGGGUAAAUGAGCCUGCAUUUUGUAGACAUGCUAGAGCACAAGGUUAAGAGCAUGGCAUCUGGAGCCUCAGUGAGACUGUAGGCAACUUAAUAUUUCUGUGCCUCUGUUUCAUCUGUAACAUGGGCUUUCACAUCAU